UCUUUUGUGGUAUUUCUGGAUCCUUACCAAGGCAUUGAUGGUAUAUGCCUUCUCUCAAGAUAUGUGGUAUUUGUGGUAUAAAGCAUAGUGACAUUGCCUUCUCUCUCACCCUACUCUAAUAAGGCUUUAAUAUCUGGAGCUCAUAGGUGGGAGAUAAAAUAUACAUACUUACAAGACAUUUAUUGUAUAGUCAAACCAUGGAUCCAAAGAAACAAGCCAAUAAGUUUAAUCAAGAUGUGCAUGUGUGGCGAAUGAAUGGUGUAUGGUGAUGAUGGUGAUAACAAUGGUGGAAGUAAUGGUGGUGGAAGUCUAAUUCUACUUUUCUCUUUUGAGGGGAUACAUACCUUCCUUGCUUUUGAAACUUUAUGAGGAGAAUGAGAUGCUCUUCUUUUUCUUUUCUCUCAGGUGGGUAUCUUGUACCCCUAAUUCUACUGUCGGACACUUGUCCUUUUUUACCUCUCGUCUCUCUUUUUCUUUUCUUUCGAGGUUCCGAGCAGUUGCUCUUUUUUAUUUCCUCGUAUGUCUCUCUUUUUUUAGAGCAUUCAUCUCUUGAGAUAAUAUAGCAAGUGGUAGUAACAAGAUAACUUGAGCAUUUAUUUCACAAGGGGAAAACAGAAAUAUUUUUGGUUAUUCUCUCCCGGAUUAGGAGUAGAAUAUUUUUAGGUGGUUCUGGAGAUGGAAUGGAUGGAUAUAUGUGGAUGGUACUUCCAGAGUAGAAGUAGCAUAUAUGAGUGAACGUGCAAGUGAAAUCUUGAUUUAACCACAUGACAAGCUCCUAAGGGUCUACACAGCUUGACCACACUCAAUGCUCAUAAGCAGUAAAUAGUAAAUGUGUGGCUCAAAGUCUAGCAAGCAUGUAUAUAUGGCUGUGGUAGGAAUUUAAGCUCUCAUCAUACAGGAACUCAUCAUGCAACAUUUUAAAGAUUUUUAAAGAUAAAAUUCUCCAGAAUUCUAGCAUCUCUAGGAACAGAUAAACAGCAGCUCAACCUUCACAUAUCGUAUCCGUUAACAACUUAGACUUCAGAUCAAGUUUUCAUCCCACAAGUUUAGGUCUAGGGCAAGCUUUAAAUUAUAACAGUU
rnacentral:lncRNA from 1 species